CCGGAAAGAGGUGAUGAUAAAAAUAGAGGAAGUCGUACAAUUUGAAGCGGUUACCGAGGAUGCUGAGACAAGAGUUCAACUCAAGAACAUAAUAGAAGUUACGCCUACGAAUGAUCCACCAAGGCACUUUCCUCAGACUUACACGGUUCUGCAAGUUGAACCUGAUUGCUUGCUUUUGUCAUCCGGCGUUACAA